rnacentral:pre_miRNA from 14 species
GACCCCCCCUUCGUUGACUCCGAGGGGAUGCAGCAGCAAUUCAUGUUUUGAAGUGCUAUGAUUCAUUCAAAACGUGAGGCGCUGCUAUACCCCCUCGCGGGGAAAAUAGAAGGCGGGAG